rnacentral:rRNA from 1 species
UACGUAGGGGGCUAGCGUUGUCCGGAUUUAUUGGGCGUAAAGAGCGUGUAGGCGGCCAGGUAGGUCUGCUGUGAAAACUCGAGGCUCAACCUCGAGCUGUCGGCGGAAACCAUCUGGCUAGAGUCCGGAAGAGGAGAGUGGAAUUCCCGGUGUAGCGGUGAAAUGCGCAGAUAUCAGGAAGAACACCCGUGGCGAAGGCGGCUCUCUGGGACGGUACUGACGCUGAGACGCGAAAGCGUGGGGAGCGAACAGG